UCCUAGAGAAGGCGGUGAAUUGUUCACCACUUUAUGAAGGCGGUGAACAAUGAAGACGGUAAACCAUUCACCGCCUUAUGAAGACGGUAAAUCAUUCACCGUCUUCAUUAGGUAUACCUUGGGCCCAGACCGACCCCGACACCUCUCCCUCCCUCUUCGCUCUCUCUCUCUUUCUCUCUCUAUCUUACUGUCUCUCUCUCCCUUUCUGCCCAUCCCUCUCCAGGUGCCUCCCCCGGUCGCCGUCAACCCACGCAUCCGCCGCCCGUGCCAACCUCCCUUAGCAACCCACAGUGCAGGUAGCAACCUCCCU
rnacentral:lncRNA from 1 species